rnacentral:rRNA from 1 species
AUUGAACGCUGGCGGCAGGCUUAACACAUGCAAGUCGAGCGGGGGAAGGUAGCUUGCUACCGGACCUAGCGGCGGACGGGUGAGUAAUGCUUAGGAAUCUGCCUAUUAGUGGGGGACAACAUCUCGAAAGGGAUGCUAAUACCGCAUACGUCCUACGGGAGAAAGCAGGGGAUCUUCGGACCUUGCACUAAUAGAUGAGCCUAAGUCGGAUUAGCUAGUUGGUGGGGUAAAGGCCUACCAAGGCGACGAUCUGUAGCGGGUCUGAGAGGAUGAUCCGCCACACUGGGACUGAGACAAGGCCCAGCCUCCUACGGGAGGCAGCAGGGGGGAAUAUUGGACAAUGGGGGGAACCCUGAUCCAGCCAUGCCGCGUGUGUGAAGAAGGCCUUAUGGUUGUAAAGCACUUUAAGCGAGGAGGAGGCUACUUUAGUUAAUACCUAGAGAUAGUGGACGUUAUUCGCAGAAUAAGCACCGGCUAACUCUGUGCCAGCCGCCGCCGUAA